UGCGUUUUAAUGCUGGAAGAUAGAGUGAAGUCUUCCAUGCAUUUUAACUAAGCUUUUUGUAUUAUUUUCCCAUUAAAGAUCUUCGCAUUUCAAAUGAUAGUUAUCGGUAUGACAAGCUCAAUGGAGGUAGUUGGGGGAAGUAUCCAUCUAAAUCUGAAAAAGCUUGUUGGUCCUAAAUGAGGAGACUGCUACUAGCUUUACUGUCCACUUUCUUUUUUUUUUUCUAAAAAAGAAAAAAAUGAAAUAGGCUUUUGGUAAUAUUCUGCAAACAUAGUAAUAAGUGACAACAGAUUGCUCAGAAGUGAAGUUCUAUAAAAAGAGGUGCUUGGCGGUAAUUUGUCAACCUAGUGAUAACCAACUUGGCACUUAAGAGCUUCAU
rnacentral:lncRNA from 1 species